rnacentral:rRNA from 1 species
UACGAACUGUGCGAACGUUAUUCGGAAUCACUGGGCUUACAGGGUGCGUAGGCGGCUUAGCAAGUCAGGUGUGAAAGCCCCCGGCUCAACCGGGGAACUGCGCUUGAAACUGCUGAGCUCGAGUCAGCUAGAGGUACACGGAACUUCCAGUGGAGCGGCGAAAUGUGUUGAUAUUGGAAGGAACACCGGAGGCGAAAGCGGUGUACUGGGGCUGGUCUGACGCUGAGGCACGAAAGCCAGGGGAGCGAACGGG